UACGAAGGGGGCUAGCGUUGCUCGGAAUCACUGGGCGUAAAGCGCACGUAGGCGGAUUGCUAAGUCAGGGGUGAAAUCCUGGAGCUCAACUCCAGAACUGCCUUCGAUACUGGCGAUCUCGAGUUCGGGAGAGGUGAGUGGAACUGCGAGUGUAGAGGUGAAAUUCGUAGAUAUUCGGAAGAACACCAGUGGCGAAGGCGGCUCACUGGCCCGGUACUGACGCUGAGGUGCGAAAGCGUGGGGAGCAAACAGG
rnacentral:rRNA from 1 species